rnacentral:rRNA from 1 species
AGGGGAGUGGUGGAGCCGACGAACCAGACUUGUAGUAGGUGAGUGAUGGGGUGACGCAGGAAGGUAGUCCAGCCCGGGCGGUGGUUGUCCCGGGGUAAGGGUGUAGGACGCACGGUAGGCAAAUCCGUCGUGCAUGAUGUCUGAGACCUGAUGCCGAGCCGAUUGUGGUGAAGUGGAUGAUCCUAUGCUGUCGAGAAAAGCCUCUAGCGAGUUUCAUGGCGGCCCGUACCCUAAACCGAC